CAUAAUUGAAACGAGAAAAUGAAGGAAAGUUGCAGACAAAGAUGGUAACUUAAAGCAGCCCACUACCACAACAUUAACAACACAACAUCUGAAAACAUCAGCAACAUACAAUGGAUCAAACAACAACAAAUCUGGGUUUUCAAUUUCCCAUCUAAAAACAAUCACAUAAUCACACUUUCGCAAUAACAACAAUAACCUUCAUCAUCAAACAAUGACUUCCCACCUCACAUAAAUCAAGCCACAGUCGAGUU
rnacentral:lncRNA from 1 species